rnacentral:rRNA from 1 species
GGCUCAUUAAAUCACACCUAAUCUACAGGAUAAUUCAAGUUACUUGGAUAACUGCGGUAAUUCUGGAGCUAAUACAUGCGACAAACUGCGAACUUACGUGAGCAGUGCUUUUAUUAGAUCAAAACCAAACGGCUUCGGCUGUACUCUUGGUGACUCUGAAUAACUUUUGGCAGAUCGUAUAGCCUUGCGCUGACGACAUAUCCUUCGAAGGUGUGCCCUAUCAACUGUCGACUGUGGCAUAGACGCCCACAGUGGUUUUGACGGGUAACGGGGAAUCAGGGUUCGAUUCCGGAGAGGGAGCCUUAAAAACGGCUACCACAUCUAAGGAAGGCAGCAGGCACGCAAAUUACCCAAUGAACGAAGUUCGAGGUAGUGACGAAAAAUAACGAUAGAGGACUCAUCCGAGGCCCUCUAAUUGGAAUGAGUACACUUUAAAACCGUCCCCGAGGAUCUAUUGGAGGGCAAGUCUGGUGCCAGCAGCCGCGGUAAUUCCAGCUCCAAUAGCGUAUAUUAAAGUUGUUGUGGUUAAAAAGCUCGUAGUUGGAUCUCAACAACCCUGGAUCGGUUACUUUGUGUAAUACUGAUCUAUGAGUUGUGCUUUUGCUGGAGGUUUAGGGGUGCUCUUAAUCGAGUGUCUCUGGAUGCCAGCAGGUUUACUUUGAAAAAAUUAGAGUGUUCAAAGCAGGCUGUUAUGCCUGAAUAUUCGUGCAUGGAAUAAUAGAAUAGGAUGUCGAUCUUAUUUUGUUGGUUUUCGAGACUCGACAUAAUGAUUAAUAGGGACAGUCGGGGGCANUUGUAUUCAAACGCUAGAGGUGAAAUUCUUGGACCGNUUGAAGACAAACUACUGCGAAAGCAUUUGCCAAGAAUGUUUUCAUUAAUCAAGAACGAAAGUUAGAGGUUCGAAGGCGAUUAGAUACCGCCCUAGUUCUAACCAUAAACGAUGCCAGCUAGCGAUCUGCCGACGUUUUUACUGUAGACUCGGCAGGAAGCUUCCGGGAAACCAAAGCAUUUGGGUUCCAGGGGAAGUAUGGUUGCAAAGCUGAAACUUAAAGGAAUUGACGGAAGGGCACCACCAGGAGUGGAGCCUGUGGCUUAAUUUGACUCAACACGGGAAAUCUCACCAGGCCCGGACACUGGAAGGAUUGACAGAUUGAUAGCUCUUUCUUGAUUCGGUGGGUGGUGGUGCAUGGCCGUUCUUAGUUGGUGGAGUGAUUUGUCUGGUUAAUUCCGAUAACGAACGAGACUCUGUCCUGCUAAAUAGUGUCAUCUUCUUUUUUGAGAUGACAAUUCUUCUUAGAGGGACUGGCAACUCUUAGUUGCACGAGAUUGAGCAAUAACAGGUCUGUGAUGCCCUUAGAUGUUCUGGGCCGCACACGCGCUACACUGAAUAGAUCAGCGUGUCACCCUUCCCGAAAGGGACGGGUAAACCGCUGAACCCUAUUCGUGGUAGGGAUCGGGGCUUGCAAUUAUUCCCCGUGAACCAGGAAUUCCCAGUAGGCACAGGUCAUAAGCCUGUGUCGAUUACGUCCCUGCCCUUUGUACACACCGCCCGUCGCUACUACCGAUUGAACGUUUU